rnacentral:rRNA from 1 species
GACUAAGCCAUGCGAGUUGAGAGGGGAAAGCCCUCAGCAUACUGCUCAGUAACACGCGGAUAACCUGCCCUCGGGUCCGGGAUAACCCCGGGAAACUGGGACUAAUACCGGAUAGGCCAUAGAUGCUGGAAUGCCCUAUGGCUGAAAGCUCCGGUGCCCAAGGAUGGAUCUGCGGCCUAUCAGGUUGUAGUGGGUGUAACGUACCUACUAGCCUACGACGGGUAAGGGUUGUGAGAGCAAGAGCCCUGAGAUGGAUUCUGAGACAUGAAUCCAGGCCCUACGGGGUGCAGCAGGCGCGAAACCUUUACAAUGCGGGCAACCGCGAUAAGGGGACCCCGAGUGCCAGCACCUAGUGCUGGCUGUCCCGCUGUGUAAAAAGCAGCGGUUAGCAAGGGCCGGGCAAGACCGGUGCCAGCCGCCGCGGUAACACCGGCGGCCCGAGUGGUAACCGCUUUUAUUGGGUUUAAAGGGCCCGCAGCCGGCCUAUUAAGUCUCUUGGGAAAUCUGGCGGCUUAAUCGUCAGGCGUCCAAGAGAUACUGGUAGGCUUGGGACCGGGAGAGGUGGGAGGUACUCCAGGGGUAGGGGUGAAAUCUCGUAAUCCUUGGGGGACCACCGAUGGCGAAGGCAUCCCACCAGAACGGGUCCGACGGUGAGGGACGAAAGCUGGGGGCACGAACCGGAUUAGAUACCCGGGUAGUCCCAGCUGUAAACGAUGCUCGCUAGGUGUCAGGUGCGGUGCGACCGCAUCUGGUGCCGCAGUGAAA